rnacentral:misc_RNA from 1 species
GUAGGUGAACCUGCGGAAGGAUCAUUACCAAAUCCAAAUCCCAAACCCCAUGUGAACUAUUGUAUAGUCUGUCUUUGGGAGAGAAGAACAAAAAUAUAUAUUGUGUGAAAUUAAAACCUUCAUUCAAUUGUUUUUCUGAAUUUCUCUCCCAAUAGAGUCCGGCGCGACUUUAUUGUUGUGUCCAGAUUCGAAACCCCCUUUUAAACCACUUGAUUUUUCUGUUGGAAUUUUCUUUUAUUAAUUUUAAAUA